UCAACCCGGGGAGGGUCAUUGGAAACUGGGGAACUUGAGUGCAGAAGAGGAGAGUGGAAUUCCACGUGUAGCGGUGAAAUGCGUAGAGAUGUGGAGGAACACCAGUGGCGAAGGCGACUCUCUGGUCUGUAACUGACGCUGAGGCGCGAAAGCGUGGGGAGCGAACAGGAUUAGAUACCCUGGUAGUCCACGCCGUAAACGAUGAGUGCUAAGUGUUAGAGGGUUUCCGCCCUUUAGUGCUGCAGCAAACGCAUUAAGCACUCCGCCUGGGGAGUACGGUCGCAAGACUGAAACUCAAAGGAAUUGACGGGGGCCCGCACAAGCGGUGGAGCAUGUGGUUUAAUUCGAAGCAACGCGAAGAACCUUACCAGGUCUUGACAUCCUCUGACAACCCUAGAGAUAGGGCUUCCCCUUCGGGGGCAGAGUGACAGGUGGUGCAUGGUUGUCGUCAGCUCGUGUCGUGAGAUGUUGGGUUAAGUCCCGCAACGAGCGCAACCCUUGAUCUUAGUUGCCAGCAUUCAGUUGGGCACUCUAAGGUGACUGCCGGUGACAAACCGGAGGAAGGUGGGGAUGACGUCAAAUCAUCAUGCCCCUUAUGACCUGGGCUACACACGUGCUACAAUGGGCAGAACAAAGGGCAGCGAAGCCGCGAGGCUAAGCCAAUCCCACAAAUCUGUUCUCAGUUCGGAUCGCAGUCUGCAACUCGACUGC
rnacentral:rRNA from 2 species